AGAGUUUGAUCAUGGCUCAGGAUGAACGCUAGCGGCAGGCCUAAUACAUGCAAGCUGAACGGCAAGAUUUGUAGCAAUACGAGUCCUAGAGUAGCGUAAGGGUGCGUAACACGUAUGCAAUCUGCCCGCAACAGGAGGAUAGCUUGAUGAAAGUUGAGAUAAGACUCCAUAACACCAUUUGAGGGCAUCUGAGGACGGUUAAACUACCAGGGGUUGCGGAUGAGCAUGCGCAUGAUUAGUUAGUUGGCGGGGUAACGGCCCACCAAGACAAUGAUCAUUAGGGGAACUGAGAGGUUGGUCCCCCACACUGGCACUGAGAUACGGGCCAGACUCCUACGGGAGGCAGCAGUAGGGAAUAUUGGACAAUGGGUGCAAGCCUGAUCCAGCCAUGCCGCGUGCAGGAAGAAAGCCUUCUGGGUUGUAAACUGCUUUUCUCUGGGGAUAAAAGACCGGUGCGCCGGGCAUGAAAGUACCAGAGAAUAGCCACGACUUGCC
rnacentral:rRNA from 1 species